rnacentral:rRNA from 1 species
UACAUGGGGUGCAAACGUUGCUCGGAAUUAUUGGGCGUAAAGCGCACGUAGGCGGUCUGUCGCGUCGAUCGUGAAAACUUGGGGCUUAACCCUGAGCUUGCGGUCGAUACGGGCAUGACUGGAGUUCGGCAGGGGAGACUGGAAUUCCUGGUGUAGCGGUGAAAUGCGCAGAUAUCAGGAGGAACACCGGUGGCGAAGGCGGGUCUCUGGGCCGAUACUGACGCUGAGGAGCGAAAGCAUGGGGAGCGAACAGG